rfam:Pongo abelii chromosome 6.
CCAAAGGCUCUUUUCAGAGCCACCUACGAUUUUGUGGAAGAACUG